GGAGGAUUCGCAUAGUGGCCGAGUGCGCGCCUCGAACACGCGUAGACGAAAGUCUCGAAGGUUCAAAUCCCUCAUCCUCCG
rnacentral:tRNA from 1 species